CCCUUAGAUGUCCUGGGCCGCACGCGUGCUACACUGACGCAUACAGCGAGCACUUUCCAGUUCCGAGAGGCUACUGGUAAUCAUCAAUAUGCGUCGUGAUGGGGAUAGAUCUUUGGAAUUCUGGAUCUUGAACGAGGAAUGCCUAGUAAUCGCAGGUCAUUAGCCUGCGAUGAUUAAGUCCCUGCCCUUUGUACACACCGCCCGUCGCUACUACCGAUUUCGAGUGGUCAUGUGAAUCUUUCGGACUGUGGGCGCCCUUGAGGUGUUCGCGGAAAGUCAGGUAAAUCUUAUCACUUAGAGGAAGUAAAAGUCGUAACA
rnacentral:rRNA from 1 species